rnacentral:rRNA from 1 species
GACAGAGGUGCCGAGCGUUAGGCGGAAUCACUGGGCUUAAAGCGUGUGUAGGCGGGUCCGUAAGUACCUUGUGAAAUCCCACGGCUCAACCGUGGAACUGCUCGGUAUACUGCGGGCCUUGAGCCAGCUAGGGGCAACCGGAACAAGCGGUGGAGCGGUGAAAUGCGUAGAUAUCGCUUGGAACGCCAAAGGUGAAAACAGGUUGCUGGGGUUGUGCCGACGCUGAGACACGAAAGCCAGGGGAGCAAACGGG